UGCCGCGUGAGUGAAGAAGGCCUUUGGGUUGUAAAGCUCUUUCGUCGGGGAAGAAAAUGACUGUACCCGAAUAAGAAGGUCCGGCUAACUUCGUGCCAGCAGCCGCGGUAAUACGAAGGGACCUAGCGUAGUUCGGAAUUACUGGGCUUAAAGAGCUCGUAGGUGGUUAAAAAAGUUGGUGGUGAAAUCCCAAAGCUUAACUCUGGAACUGCCAUCAAAACUUUUUAACUAGAGUAUGAUAGAGGAAAGCGGAAUUUCUAGUGUAGAGGUGAAAUUCGUAGAUAUUAGAAAGAAUACCAAUUGCGAAGGCAGCUUUCUGGAUCAUUACUGACACUGAGGAGCGAAAGCAUGGGUAGCGAAGAGGAUUAGAUACCCUCGUAGUCCAUGCCGUAAACGAUGUGUGCUAGACGUUGGAAAUUUA
rnacentral:rRNA from 1 species